AUUGAACGCUGGCGGCAGGCCUAACACCUGCAAGUCGGGCGAGAGGCGGACGUGGGAGUGAUGUAUGGAGAUCUGCCUGAUGGAUGGGGAUAACUACUGGAAACGGUACCUAAUACCGCAUACCGUCAGAUGAACCCCUAUGGGAUUAGCUAGUAGGUAAUGUAACGGGUUACUUAGGCGACGAUCCCUAGCUGGUCUGAGAGGAUGAUGGGCUACACUGAGACAGAGACACGGCCCAGACGCCUACGUGAGGUAGCAGUGGGGAAGAUUGCACAAUGGGCGCAAGAAUGAUGCAGCCAUGCCGCGUGGAUGAAGAAGGCCUUAGGGUUGGAAAGUAAUUUCAGUCGGGAGGGGUUACCUACAGAAGAAGAGCAGGAUAACACCGUGCCAGCAGCCGCGGUAAUAC
rnacentral:rRNA from 1 species